rnacentral:lncRNA from 1 species
UGAUAAAUCAAGUGAUAUCUUUUCUUCUCUAUAAGUUCUGUGUUUAGAACUCCAUUCAUAGCUUUCUCUAGAACUGUACUAGCGCCCCUGUCUCAGCUUAAGAGUCCAUCUUUGCUUUUAGGACUUCUUAAUUAUUUAGAUUGUUCAUGUCUUAUACUUGUUUCACAUGCUGAAAAUAAGCAACAGGGUCACCAAACACAGAAGACACUAUUAAAGUAAGAAUGCAAUCAAGCUUAAAGCAACUUGGUACACAGUUCUGAAGAGAAUACUAUGUCUAACCACACCAAUAUUUCAUCCUACUGCUUCAACAUAUGUAUUUAAAACCUGUUGGUAAAGAAAUACUGAGUUUUUGCAACCAUUUUCUGUUUAUUCUCUUUCCCUAGCCUUGCAAAUAUAUCAACCUGAAGUCAGAGAAUACAGCUUGUAAAUUUUCAAGCUAGUUGACUAUUUAAUUUUAGACUCAAGGUCCAACACCCACUGAACCUUCCUGUAGGAAUAAUCCAGCGACAUCACCAUGAAGAAUUUCUCACUUUUUAUUGUCUUGUUCAGAAGCCACAAAUAAAAACCACUAUUUUCAACAAAAUCCAAAACAUGUAUGACUUUUAUAAUGAUAACACCAUGUUCAAUAGUGACUUUUGUGACUCAACAAGACUUGAGUGUUAUGGCGCAUCUCUCCCAGUAAUAAUAAGAACCACAACUACAGCCAACUCUUUAUGGCUCUUUCUCUGUUCAAAUCACACUCAACUCACUAAAUUCUCUGAAUAAUACUGUUCGUUGUCUUCACUCAGCGUGGAAAAACUGAGGCAGGAAAAAUGAUGAACUUUGGACUUUAAAAAACAAACAACAGCAACAAAAUCUCACAGCUUCCAUACAUGCAACUGGAGUGAGGCAAAGGAGGAGAAGGAGGAGAAGGAGGAGGAGGAGGAGGAGGAGGAGGAGGAGGAGGAGGAGGAGGAGGAGGAGGAGGAGGAAAAGAAGAGACCAAAGUCCCUAAAGCAUGACUUUGUGGAUAUCCUUCAGAUAUAAAGACCCAUUAGAUUGAAAGCAAAGACUACAUCAACAGCUGUAUAGAAAAAAAAAUCAGUAUUUUUCAAUGUCCAACCACAGGACUGAAAGAAAUCUUUCUGACGGUUAGUCUACAGGAGUCUGUGGCACAGGAGAAAAGACGGCUCCUAAAGAGGAUAGUGCACCAUAAGAGAGAUGACAGAGUUUUAGAAUCACUUCAUGGUGUCAUCUCAUACUGCUGAAAGGUGUUCUUCACCAAAGAGCAACUUGAAAUAGACUCAGCCUCCUGAAUGGUGCUCCUCUGCCUUAAUUGUUUGGAAGCAGCCAGUCCCUAGAAACAAAGGGAAGUGACUCACGCCCGAGAUGCAGUCCAGCUGGGGUCUGACAGUGAUAUUACACAGUAAGAGACUUGAAAUGGAAGAAACAGAGAGUCCAGUCUCAUGCCCCUCCAGCAUUGGGAAGCUCUUUAACAUCGGACAGAGAACAAACUCCAGCAGAAACACAGAAACAUAGUUUCCAUGACUUCAAAAUAUUUAGAUAUCACACGAAGUAUGGAAAACUUUGCAGGAAAUAACCCUUCAAAUUUUGAGGAAGUGGCUCCUUAAACACCAUGGUGAUUCCUUGCCAGUAAAACUAUGACUGACACUUGAAUGCUAAGGAUGCUCAAACAAUGUAAUCAAUGUAAGCUGGUGCACAGAACUUUGCAGCAUCAUCUGCCAUCCAUUUCAUCUCCAGUGCAGUGCAUUUCCUUUGAUCAAAGGGUUUCCAGUGGAAACAUAUUCAGCAAUGUCCAGUAAGAAAGACUUGAGCUGCCAGUGUAGUUCCCAUGGAGAAAGCUUGAGUCUCAAUGCAACAAUACAGACUACCUGGGGGGGAGGGGGGGGAUAAAUUUUCCUAAACUGUUAUUCCUACGCUCUAUCUAGCUGUGUGUAUUUGGCAAGCCGAGAUAUUUUCAGAGCCUUUGUGUCUUUGUCAGGAAGGGGAAAGAUGGGUGGGACUUAGAAUGUAUACCAUAAGAAUGAGAGAACCUGUGCAACUGGAUCAGGACGUAGUUUAUCAAGAGGACGAAUUCCACAGGGAGAGAUCACAGUUAUUAAGGGACACUUGGGUGAAUGGGUUUCCUUCAGUUCAUUUACAACCACUAUCAUUCAGAGAGCUAUUAAAAAGUGAAAUUCUGAGCUAGCUUUUCUAUGGAUCUCUUCAAUACUCAGCCCCAAAUUGGCUCUCUUUUUUUUUAAACAACCUCCCCUGCAAUGUAAUUUAGUAAUAACAAUUGUUUUAAUGCAGAAAGUUUCAAGAUUAUUUCUGCUAAGAAUUCUACAAAGCAAUGCUUUGAUAAUCAUGUAUGUAGAGGGUAACAAAUAAGCUACAUUCUUAUUCUUUCCAUUGAGGGCAUAAAUAAUUGUGAAGUUUGGGCUUGACAUGCUCCAUUCAUUAAUCAGUAUUGAUGUCAUGUUUCAUGCUGGGAACACAAAGCCAGCCUGGGCUUAGUUGCUGCUCACAGUCUAACAGGGAAGCCAGGUAAAUCAUAAGACUGACAAAGAGAUGUAUGGGCCUAGGAAAGGCGAGUGCAGAGUGCUAGAGGACCAUGGGAAGAUGCAUUGGCUAUGUAUGACCUACAGAGCUGGGAAAGGCAACAGUCACAGACCUGAGUGGCAAACUGCAGGAAAACAACACAAAAGAAGGUUUUGGACAAAGAGAGCACAUGGUCCAGGCUUCAAGGCAAGAAAACAUAGUUAAUUCCACAAAGGCAAAAACUUUCGGUAUGGUUAGAACAUGAGCUUUCCAUUAUCCUUAACCCUGUGAUGCUUCCUUAGUCAAGGAUUUGCUUCAGUUAGGGUUAACUACUGCAAGUACCACCUAAGACACUGUCAUCUUACAAACCCCUAAGGAUUUGUAGCAUCCCAACUUAACUAAUAAAGGGUUAGACAAAUCUGGAGCUAAAUUACCAAAACUUAUUUUUGAGAUGCAAUCCACUUCUACAAAGGGAAAAGCAAUUGGAGCCAUGGAACAUGUGAAUGACCAUGCUAGCCAGCAGAGUGACUCAGGACAGACACUUCCUAAACCACAGCCACUAGUCAUUUCAGAGCUGGACUUUGUAAACUACCUGGAAACACUGAUCUAAUUGCCCUAUUUAAAAUAUAGAUGUAUGGGUACUCCAUACUUAUAUAUUUAUAACUCUUUCUACUUUAUUUGGUGAUUAUGGGCCAGACAGAAAAGGCACUUGCUUAAAUUUGUACUUAACCUUUAUAAUCGCCGUGGAUAGGAAUUUGCAUUAUAUAAAAUUCUGCUUCCAUUUUCUACAAAAGAAAAGAAAAAAGGUUCUUGACCUCCAAUACAUUUUGACAUUUUGAUUUCAAUGAAGUUUAAGUUUUAUUUUCUGUAAAACUUUUUAUGUCCCAGUCUGACAAGAUACAUGAAAAUUAUCUAAAGUUCUUUCCAAAUGUAUUUGGCCAUUAAUCCUCUUUUUGUUGUGUUCAGACAAAACUCUCAUUCAAACAUUGUCUAAUAAUAAAGGAAAAACUAUUAAUUUCAUUUUAUA